UUCCUCCCCUCAGUCUU
rnacentral:miRNA from 1 species